CAAGUCGAACGAAGCACUUUAUUUGAUUUCCUUCGGGACUGAUUAUUUUGUGACUGAGUGGCGGACGGGUGAGUAACGCGUGGGUAACCUGCCUUGUACAGGGGGAUAACAGUUGGAAACGGCUGCUAAUACCGCAUAAGCGCACAGCAUCGCAUGAUGCAGUGUGAAAAACUCCGGUGGUAUAAGAUGGACCCGCGUUGGAUUAGCUAGUUGGUGAGGUAACGGCCCACCAAGGCGACGAUCCAUAGCCGACCUGAGAGGGUGACCGGCCACAUUGGGACUGAGACACGGCCCAAACUCCUACGGGAGGCAGCAGUGGGGAAUAUUGCACAAUGGGCGAAAGCCUGAUGCAGCGACGCCGCGUGAGCGAAGAAGUAUUUCGGUAUGUAAAGCUCUAUCAGCAGGGAAGAUAAUGACGGUACCUGACUAAGAAGCACCGGCUAAAUACGUGCCAGCAGCCGCGGUAAUACGUAUGGUGCAAGCGUUAUCCGGAUUUACUGGGUGUAAAGGGAGCGCAGGCGGUGCGGCAAGUCUGAUGUGAAAGCCCGGGGCUCAACCCCGGUACUGCAUUGGAAACUGUCGUACUAGAGUGUCGGAGGGGUAAGCGGAAUUCCUAGUGUAGCGGUGAAAUGCGUAGAUAUUAGGAGGAACACCAGUGGCGAAGGCGGCUUACUGGACG
rnacentral:rRNA from 1 species